UCGUGUAAACCUAAUAAUUUUUUUUCUUCUUCUGCCGUCAUCGUUGUUGAAACCAUUUGCCGAGAUUUUGUUCUUCUUUGUGCUUCCUUUCUCGAGAUUUACUUCUCUCAUCAUGAGAGCGUACCAUUGUCGCAAAAAAAAUCUUCUAGGAGAGGGUCAUCAAAGGUAUUUAGAGAAAAGACUAAGGAGAGAACUGGAUAUAUCUUCAAAGAGAGAAUUAAUUUAGUCGAUGAAUUGGGGGAGAAAGGUGAAGACGAGAUAUGCGAUUCAGAAUCAGAAGAGGAAAUUAGGGAUUUGGACACGAACGAAGCUGGAAAGAAGCGACCAGUUCUUGAGACAAGUGGUGAGGGGAAAAAGAAAAAGAGAGAUAAGAAGAGGAACAUGAAGAGUGAUGAUUUAAACAAUUUUUUUUUGGUUCCAUGAACAAGACAAAGAAGGAAUUAGGCAAUAAGAGAAUAAUUUGAUCAACUUCGUGCAUAAAACCAGAGACUAUUGCGAAGAUAAAAAGUAGAGAUGUUGUCUUUCGUUAUGUUUACCAGUACAAGGAUAAUCCUAAUGCUCUUGGUAGAGCCGACGGGAGCAGACUCUGUGUAUUGACGACAUACGACAUUGUCCUGGAUCUUCUUUUAUCCCGGAUUGCAUAUACAUUAGCAAGAGACGCCGACUUGCAACAGUUAUUAGAUAGAUAUAGGUUACUAUUCCAUCUGAUGGACUCAGCAACGGGUUACGCUCGAUCCUCCGUUAAAGACGUUCAGUAUUACAGGACUUGGAGGACAACACCGGAACAAGCAUGACUCCGUUGUGCAUCUUAAACAUCUCCCCAGCGGAAUCGUAGCUCAGGCCGUCGAGGAUCGUUCGCAGCAUAAGACUCGUGCUUCUGCUCUGAAUUAAUUGGAGUUUUCUUUUUCUUGCUAAUUAAGUAUAGGGAGUCAUUCAAGAAGAGAGCAAAAAAAAUUACGUUAUGCUCGAUGGAAUAAUGCAGAGCCUAAUAGAAGAUAGGGUUACCUCUAUGAAUGGCAUACAUGACUAUACAAUGUGAAAAUUUCCAGUUCCAUGUGUCCUGACACAAGAAGCUGUUUUACCUAUAUUAAGUUUUCAUGUUAUUCGUUA